GCGUUCUUAGCUUAGCUGGAUAGAGCAACGGCCUUCUAAGCCGUAGGUCACAGGUUCGAAUCCUGUAGAACGCA
rnacentral:tRNA from 1 species